rnacentral:rRNA from 1 species
UACGUAGGGGGCUAGCGUUGUCCGGAAUCAUUGGGCGUAAAGCGCGCGUAGGCGGUCAGGUAAGUCCGGUGUGAAAGUCAAAGGCUCAACCUUUGAAUGCCGCUGGAUACUGCCUGACUUGAGUCCGGAAGGGGCGAGUGGAAUUCCUGGUGAGUAGCGGUGAAAUGCGCAGAUAUCAGGAGGAACACCAAUGGCGAAGGCAGCACUCUGGGACGUGACUGACGCUGAGACGCGAAAGCGUGGGAGCAAACAGG